UUUUUUUUUUCUUUUUUUCCUUUUUUUUGCUUUUUAGGGCUGCGCCAGUGGCAUAUGGAGGUUACCAGGCUAGAGGUUGAAUUGGAGCUACAGCUGCCGGCCUACGCCACAGCCACAGCAAUGCAGGAUCCCAGCUACAUCUGGGACCUACACCACAGCUUGCCAGAUCCUUAACCCCAGUGAGUGAGGCCAGGGAUUGAACCCACACCCUCAUGGUUCCUAGCUGGAUUUGUUUCCACUGUGUCACCAUAGGCACUCCUGUGGUCCCUUCCACCUCUCUUCCUCAAUACCCAAGAGGAGUGAAGGUCUGCUCUCAGGCCCGUGCUUCCUGAGGCAGCCCAGCACCUCGCCCUCCAUGUGCUUUCUGCUGCCAGGCUCACUCUGUCCGCUUCUCUCUGGGUUCUCUCCCCUUGUGGCUUGGUGAUAGACAUGGAGCCUAUACCAGCUCCCCACUAGAUUUUGAGACAAAUGCUCUCCAGUUCCUUCCCCUCUGUUUCAUGCUCGCUUAAGCCUCUUGUCAGCAGAUGUGCAGUAAGAGGAAUAAGAUUCAGAUCCAUGCUGUGGAGUAGAAGUAAGCAGAGCAGGCAUUUAACUCCUUUCAUCCUAAGCUGCUUGGGCUUAGGUAAACAGUUCCUGGUGGAUGCUUUCCAGCUCCCUGGAAUUCUUCAUUAGGGAUACAUACACAUCAGAGGGGCCAUGGGCUAUUUUCUUACUAUGUUUUAUUCUCUUCGAUUGUCAUUUAUUACAGGAUAUUGACUAUAGUUCCCUGUGCUACACAGUAGAACCUUGUUAUUUAUUUAUACAUAGCAGUUUGUAUUUGCAAAUCCCAAACUCCUAAUUUCUCUUCCCCACCCCCUUUCCCUUUUAGUAACCAUAGAUUUGUUUUCUAUGUCUGUGAGCCUUUUUCUGUUCUGUAUUCUUACUAUUUUCUUCAUGCAUAUUUUUUUCCAGGAUCUGGUGAAGAAGAUUGCUAGUAAGAGGCUGGAUCCACUGAUUCCCAGAUCACAGAUCUAAUAUGAUCAAAAUGCCACCUUAAUCACAACCCAGCAGCCCAACACUCUAUUUCAAAAAGAAAUUUUUAAGAGCCAGUAAAUAAUUUUCAUCCCCUCUUUUUCCUUUCCCUCAACCAUGGUAACUGGUAAAGUUUCAGAUGGUGGCUAUUCCAUCAGCAUGGAUUCCAGAGAAGGAGACCUGAGCAUAGUAGGCAUGUAACGUAAGGGGAGAAGCAAAUUUUGUUGCCAUCAACAACUAGGAUUUCACAGUUGUUUGUUACCCACAUUAUUCUAACACGUGGCUGUUGGCGGUGGUGGUGGUUGUGUUUCAGGUGGUUGUGUUUCAGGUCUAAGUGGUACCUCACAUUUGGUGCAUCAAACCCUGUAAGUGGCAACAUAACCAGUAUCAUCUCCUUGAGAAUGGCCUAAGAGAUGACUCAAACUAGCAUCUUCCGACCUCCCAGCAGAUACCGACUCUGCAAUCUACAGUAAAAACUGCUCUCAGUGAAAAAUCUUCUCAAGUCCCUUCUGAGAAGGUAAGACCUGUGGCAGAUGGGUUCACUGCUGCUCCCACAAUCUAGGGCCAGCGUCCCACCUACUGACGCAUAUGAUAAUCCAGAUGCCUAAGCUUUUGUCUACACCCAUUUUACAUAUAAGCUGUAAACAGAAAACAUCUCUGCCCUAAUAUCCCUCUCCAUUUCAGACAGUACAGUGCCGUUAAUAAUCCCACUUUCAUUGUUCAAAAAUCAAGUGUUGGCAGUUAAAUAGGCAUUUUCGCAGCCUCUACAAACAGCCAUCCUGCCUAUUCACAUUUUCAAGGACAACUUCACAAGGUGACUUCCUUCAUUGGAACAUCAAAAAAUGUUAAAAAUUCUUCCUUAUAAAAGGUUGAAAGUUGCCUCUACAUUCUUUUAUUUUAUUCUAACUUGUUUUGUUGUGUGUUUUUUUAGGGCUGCACCCACAGCAUAUGGAGGUUCCCAGUUCAGAAUAAUCCCAGUGGUAGGAAAAAAAGCUGCCCCUACACAAAUGGAAUUAGAUUUAGAGAGACCGAGGCAGGAAGCCAGCCUGGGCUUUCCUUGUUCUGCUCUCUUUCCUGUAGGUUUCUAUCUUCAGUAAAGACUUGUUCCAAAUAACGUCUUAUCUCGGAUCAUUAAAACCCAUUCGUCUGCAAAAGAGGCAAGGACCUGGGUCUUUUUUUUGCUUACCUUUCUAUCAGCAUUCCCUGGCCCUGGCCCUAGGAAAUAUUAGGCACUCAACAGCUACUUGUUGAAUGAAUGAUGAAAUGGUUAUGUUGGAGAUUAGAAAAUGGUUUAGGCUUAUUUUAGGGCUUCCAGGAGGAAAUAUUUACGUAACUUAAAAUGUGCAAAGGGUAAUGUCUUAUUUCAGAAUGACAUCAGGAUGCAGGGAGACCCAAUUCUAUGUUUUCCUGGGUAGGGAGAAGGAACAUUCCAUCCAAGGACGGCAGUGAGGGAAGACUGGUAGGACAGCAGCAUCCUGGCUCCACAUGGACAUUGUGUUCAGAACAAGAAUCCAGGGAAACACGAGGCUGGAAAGCAGUACACAGCCUCCUUGCAACAGGCAGGGGCGUGGUUUUCCAUGUGUGCUGAGGCUGGGGUCCAGUGGGUGCAGGAGACAACUACCAGGCGGUGAACAGACAGUGGAAUGUGAACAGCGGGUUCAGUCAAUGGCUCGUUCUCUGUCACUACUCCAACCUGCACUGCUCCACCUUCAAAACGUCCGACACACUUCAGGCACCAGUAACUGCUUGCGAAAUGCUUGCUCACUUAUCCUUAACUGAUCUUGAACUAUCUCAGGGAACUGGGUAAUUUGAGCUUAUCAUACUGUCUCUUCCCAAAGAAGUCCUGACUCCUGACCUUCAGGCUAAGAUCCCCUUUGACUUCAUUUGAAAUUAAGGUCAAGAUAAAACUAACCCAAUUUCUUAGCGGUCCCAGAAAUCAAGGCUCACUUUGGUCUGAGCCAGGCUUCUCAGGGCUGCUCUAAGCACUUCAGGUUCUACCUCUAAUACAAAGGGAAGUCCAAAGUGAAUUUAUCUUGGGUUGAGGCGAGUGAAGGGAAUUGUUUUCGUCUUCAGCAGCCUGUAUUCAUUUACAUGGCUGUUCUAAUUUAUCAAUAUUAUUGUUUUACGAUGGAGAAUUUUAAAUACACUCAAAAGUAGAUAAAAUGAUACAAGGAAUUCCCAGGUAUCCACCUGGUGCCAAUAACCAUAAGCCCACGACCAGUCUUGCCAUAUCCUGCCCUCCAUGCAUCCCUUCCCCAGCACUACGUUGAAGCAGAUCCCAAGUAUCAUGGCGUCAUCUAUAAAUAUUUCAGUGAGAAUCUCUAAAAGACAAUAACUUGCAUCUUUUAAUGGCCACACCCACAGCACAUAGCUGUUCGCAGGCCAGGGACUGAAUCGGAGCCAAAGCUGAGAAUCACACUGCAGCUGCCACAACGCCAUAUCCUUUAACCCGCUGGGCUGGGCUGGGGAUCGAACUCACAGUGACCCAAGCCACUACAGUCAGAUUCUUAACCCACGGUGCCACAGCAGGAACUCCCAAUAACUCGUCUCUAAAUACAACUAAAAUAUCAUUAUCAUACCUAAUAACAAUUCCUUAAUGACAAACAUGUACUGUUGACUAUUUGUCUCUUAAAUUUUACUAACAGGUUUUCUUCACCAUGUUUAUUUUAAUCAGGAUCCAAAUGAGAGCCAGAUGUAGUAAAUGACUAUGGUCUUUUGAGUCUCUUUUAAUUGUGAGGUUCCACUCUGAUCUCUUUUUUCUUCCUACUGCAAUUUAUUUGUUGAAGCAUUGUGCUUUUACGUACUUUCCAAUUCUCACAGUCUGAGUUUGAGUAACCUCCUCAGUAUGUUCUAACAUGUUCUCCUGUCCUCUGUAUUCCCUGCCAAUUGGAGUCAGAUCUAGAAGUUUGAUCAAACCCAAGUAUAUGGGUUUUUUGCAAUAUAUUAAUUUCUACCAAAAUAAAAAAAAUCCUACCAGAGUAAUCUCAGUUUUGGGCAAAAACUUGACAAAUUCUUCUAGAAUCUGAACUAUAAGAUGUUGUAUAAAGCAUCAAAAAUUUAGAAUUUAUAUCUAGACAUAGGACUCUGGUUUCCAUGGAUACAACACACAGACGCACACACCACUACCACCAAAAAUAAACAGAAAAAAGUUCAAAUAAUAACAAAGAUAACAGCAAAAACAAAACCUGAAACUAUGGGAACAAUAAAUUCAAAUUAACAUCAGUACCUACCUAAGAAAUGUCAAAAUAUGAAUAUUUGCAUGCUGGAAAGCUCUUUCUAGAAGGCUUGGAUGCUCAAAACCCUAUUUUUGAUGCAGCUGAGCCCAGGUUUUGGUUCAGUUUGCCUCAACUACCACUAGAGGGAGAGCAAGAUACAUCUGAAAAACCUCUUUAAAAAACAGGCCUCAAAACUUGAAAGGUUUAAUUUUUUUUAGUUUAUUUUACAUAUCAAAAUUCAAUAUUAUUAUUUAUUUUGUUUUACAAGUAAACGUUAUACUAAAGUGUUUUAUAUCUGAGAUAUACCUAUAAUGUAGAGAAAAAAAAAACACACACCCUUUGUAUGUUCUGUACAAAGUAUAUUACAUAAAAUAUACCUCUCAAGUUUUCCUUAACUUCAGUCUUUUUUUAAAACAGGAGAGGUGUAAGAACCUAAGUAAAACUUAUUUUAUGGUGGCUCAAUUAAGGUGGUUUUUUUAGAGAUUAUAAGCACUUUUAAAGAAUACAAUACUCUACCUUCCAAAUUAUAGUUUUAAAACAUUAAACUGUAAAAUAAACAUAAAGAAAUCCAAAAAAUUUCUAGUUUUCCAAUAAUGAUUACUUAUUUCAGAGGGGUUGGGGAGCUAUAUCAAAUACUUCCCCUCCAAAAAGUAAGUAAAUACUCCACUGCCAGGCUAAGCACCUGCUUCAUCAGCCUUGGAGUGAUCAGCUUCACCUCCUAUCCUGCAAAUAAUUAGCUAAAAAUGUCAGAACUAACUGCUCCUUCCACCACAAAAUAGACACUCUCCUUAUAAUGCUUUUACAUUAACAUACCUUUUUAAGACUUAUAACCCAUUUCCACGUGCUAUUUCAUUUAUCCUCAAAACUUUGUAAUUGGAGAUUAUUAAUCCCACUUUAGAUGAAGUCAACACUUCAAGCAGUGAGGGUUCCACAUUGCAAUCGGCACAAACAGGACUCAAAUCCAGAGCUUCUAACACAAAACUCAGGUACUCUGUGACUCCACAGACAAAGCCACUGCUAACAAUUUCAGUCCCCCCAUGAGCCAGCAUUUUUCUUGUUGUCGAUGCCUAUGAGACUGCAAAAGCAUCAAAGUGAGACCUAUGUCCUCUACCUGAGUAAACCUGGCCGGGGAGUUCCCAGCAUGGCUCAGCGGAAACAAAUCUGACUAGGAUCCAUGAGGACGCAGGUUUGAUCCCCGGCCUUGCUCUGUGGGUUAAGGAUCCGGCGUUGCUGUGAACUGUGGUGUAGGUCACAGAUGCGGCUCGGAUCUGGCGUUGCUAUGGCUGUGGUGUAGGCCAGCAGCUGUAGCUCUGAUUCAGUCUCUAGCCUGGGAACCUUCAUAUGCCAUGGGUGCAGCCCUAAAAAGGCAAAAUGAAUAAACGAAUGAAUAAAUUUUUAAAAAUUAAAAAAUAAUAAUAAAACAAAAACAAACCUGGCAGGGUGCUGUGGAGGCCUAUGCUGAAUGGCCAGUCUUUGUGCCAGUGAAAGACAUACCUGAGGUUCCUCGGCUCUUUCAGGACAGAGGACUCAGAGCACAGGUUACGCUGCAACUGUGGAGGCCCCACAGGCAAGCCCAGUGGAGUACAUCUCGGGACAGCGUGCAGACAGUGCAAAGGCUGGAGUUUUCUCUUGGCAAUCAUAAAUGUGCCUUUAAUCACCAACUGUGAACUUCUCCCACCAGAUGACGGGAGCAGAGAGAAGGAGCAAGCAUGAGCCCAUGGGAAUUAAAACUCCAGUCCAGGGCCAAGCGGGGUGCUGAUGGAUUUUUAACAACCAGCUCCACCAGAGGAGAGGCAAGAAAGGCCAUGAUUUGUAGUUUGCUGUUUCCCAUGGUGUAAGUACUC
rnacentral:lncRNA from 1 species